UAAUACGGAGGGUGCAAGCGUUGUUCGGAAUUACUGGGCGUAAAGGGCGCGUAGGCGGCCUGAUAAGUCAGAUGUGAAAGUCCACGGCUCAACCGUGGAAGUGCAUUUGAAACUGUCAGGCUUGAGUAUCGGAGGGGAGUGUGGAAUUCCCGGUGUAGAGGUGAAAUUCGUAGAGAUCGGGAGGAACACCGGUGGCGAAGGCGACACUCUGGACGAAUACUGACGCUGAGGCGCGAAAGCGUGGGGAGCAAACAGGAUUAGAUACCCUGGUAGUCCACGCCGUAAACGAUGUGAACUAGGGAUAGGGGGUGUUGAUCCCUCCUGUCCCGCAGCUAACGCACUAAGUUCACCGCCUGGGGAGUACGGUCGCAAGAUUA
rnacentral:rRNA from 1 species